UUACUUAGAAAAAGGAUCUUAGUCCUACCUUAAGUUUUUUUAAUAGACAAAAUAACCCAUAAACUUAAGAGCCAUUCAAAUAGGGUACAGCCCAUUUGAAAUAGGAAACAACCUCCGACACAGGGUAAUAUACCUCAGCAUGUGCCAAAGUGGGCCUAAAAGCAGCCAACUUUUAAAAAGCGUUAAAGCUUUACCACAAGCUAUCAUAAUUUCAAAACCCCCCUAAAACCCUUAUACAAUACUAAGUAACUCUAUGACCCCAUAGAAAUUAUAAUGCUAAAACUAGUAAUAAGAAGAAGAACUUCUCCCAAAUAUAAGUGUAAGCCAAAAAGAACUACUCAUUGGCAAUUAACGCCCCUGAUCUCAAAGCAGCAACCCUACAAGAAAACCCUGCAAAAUACAUCGUUAACCUAACACAAGAACAUUUCGGGAAAGAUUAAAAGAAGUGGAAGGAACUCGGCAAACCUUGACCCCGCCUGUUUACCAAAAACAUCGCCUCCUGUAAUAAAUAGGAGGUCCAGCCUGCCCAGUGACUAAGUUAAACGGCCGCGGUACCCUAACCGUGCGAAGGUAGCGCAAUCACUUGUUCUUUAAAUGAGGACUAGUAUGAAUGGCAUCACGAGGGUUACACUGUCUCCCACCUCUAAUCAAUGAAACUAAUCCCCCCGUGAAGAAGCGGGGAUAAAACUAUAAGACGAGAAGACCCCAUGGAGCUUUAAACUCAACAUCAACCGCAAACCAACACACCACUAAAGUAAAGCGGACCUGACUGCUAGUUUUAGGUUGGGGUGACCGCGGAGCAUAAGACAACCUCCAUGAUGAAUGACAUCCUCUAAUCUAAGAGCCACAGCUCGAAGAAUCAAUAAAUUGACAUAAAUUGACCCAAAUAAAUUUGACCAACGAACCAAGUUACCCUGGGGAUAACAGCGCAAUCCAUUUCAAGAGCUCCUAUCGACAAAUGGGUUUACGACCUCGAUGUUGGAUCAGGGUAUCCCAGCGGUGCAGCCGCUGCUAAAGGUUCGUUUGNNCAACGAUUAAAACCCUACGNGAUCU
rnacentral:rRNA from 1 species